UACAGAGGGUGCGAGCGUUGUCCGGAAUCACUGGGCGUAAAGGGCGCGUAGGUGGUGGCUUAAGCGUGCGGUGAAAGCCCGGGGCUCAACCCCGGGAGGCGGAUGGAUACUGCUUGGCUCGAGUCCGGAAGAGGCGAGUGGAAUUCCCGGUGUAGCGGUGAAAUGCGCAGAUAUCGGGAGGAACACCAAUGGCGAAGGCAGCUCGCUGGGACGGUACUGACGCUGAGACGCGAAAGCGUGGGGAGCAACAGG
rnacentral:rRNA from 1 species